rnacentral:snoRNA from 1 species
GGGGGCCUGUGAAAUCAGUUUGCUGCAAUUUGACGUGACUGGAAUUGUUGCACUUUUCGCGGGCCCAGAGAAAUACUUUCGGUGUUAAUCAUAGACUAUAUAUCUGGUAAUCAAUACCAUAGCCUAUUUCAUGUCCGUUUAACAUAU